ACCGUCCCACACCACCCAUCCCCCGUCUGUCUAAAAAAAACCACACACCCCGAUCCAGAUCCCCAACCACCUCUCCUCUCCCAACCCACUCGCCGCUGGCCUCUCUUCCACCUCCUCUCCUCCGUCCGUCCGCCUCCAUGCCCCCCGCCGCGUGCGCCACACCGCGCGCCCGCCGCACCGGAGGGCCGUCCCCGGCAGAGGCGGCGCGACGGCCGACGACGACGCCGCGCGGAGCAAGCAGGAAGGGGCCGUUGGCGGCGAUCGUCCGGCGGUGGGCGGCUCCGGGCGGUUCGCGCGGUCGCAGAGAAGCAUGGUCCUGUCGGCGGCGUUCGACAGCAGGACGAACGAUGUGGAGAGCUCCGUCGCGGCCCGCGGCGACCUGUGGCGCGCCGAGGCGUCGCACUCCAGCAGCGGCAGCAGAGGCGGCGGUGACGGCGGCGCGGCGCCGCUGUUCCUGGUGCAGCUCGGGCCCGUGCUCUUCCUCCGCGACACGACGCUACUCUUCCCCGUGCACCUCUCCAAGCGCCACCUCAUCUGGUACGGCUUCGAGCACAAGAACGGAGUGCACUCGGUGUGCCCGGCGUACUGGAAAGCUCGCCGGAGAUGCUUCUUCAUGUCGAUGAUCUGCCUCAACCCCUUUGCCUGCUCAUUCAUGGACAUGCAAUUCCCCAACGGGCAGCUCAGAUAGGUGGCCGGCGACGGGUUCAUGGCGAGGGGUUUCCUCCCUCUCGACGGCGGCGGCAUCGUCCAGGCCCACGGAAAGUUCCCCGGGGAGAAGCGACUCAACUUCUCCUACAAGAACGGGAGCGGGGGCAGCGUCGCCCCGACCGUCCAGUGGCCGGACAGGUCCCAGUCGCUGGGGCUAGCCCAGGUGCUCUCCUGGAGGCGGUGCGGCCUCAUGCUGCAGCCGGCACUGCAGCUCAGCAUUUGCCCCACGUUCGGCGGGAGCCGGCCCGGGGUGUCGACGGAGCUGGUCCAUUCGGUCAGCGAGGAGGCCAGCGUCGCCUGCGGCUACUCCCGCACCGCCUCCCCCUCCGCCUACGCUUCCGUGUCGCUUGGGAGAUCGAAGCUGAAUGGCGGCGCGACGAGCUCGGGGCUGGUGUUGAGAGUGGACGCACCGCUGCACGGUUUUGGGCGGCCAUGGUUCUCCAUCCAGAUGAACAGUGGGUUCGAAUUCUGAAUCUUUGAUUGUUGCAAAGGGACUCAGGGCAAUGGAUAAAAUCUAGAUGCUAAGUUGUUUUUUUUCUGCGGAUUUGGUUAUCGUGAAGAGAUGCACCAAGGGUUAAUUGCUACAGAUACUGAAAACUUUGAAACUAGUGACGGUGACGACCAUGAUCGUAAUCACAAGCACCGAAGACCACUGCCAUGUUCCUGCACUUAACAUUUUCAAUCGCUGCAUUGAAAUAGUAUGAUCUAUUACUUCACAUUUUCUGUACCAUGAGGACAACUGUCACAUUGUGCCAAUAUAUGUGUAGCCUUGAAAGGUGUCCUGUAGUGUCUGGAGUAAACAAAAUGAGGACAACUGUCACAUUGUGCCAAUACAUUUUCAAUCACUCACAAAAUGUUGAACCCUCAACUUCUCAAUUUUUUUGUUAACAAAAUUUAUGAUAUGAUGAAUAUUGGAGUAAACAAAAUUUAUAUGAUGCAAGUAGUGGAUUUGGUUGGAGUAAAUAUGAUAUGAUAUGAUAUUGCAUUUGACUCAUCUUGAUAUAUGUAUUUUAUUUAGUUAAUAAUGAACUUUUGUUAUGCAUCCAUAUGUUUAGAUCUGCAACUGUGGCGCAACCAUCGCCCAUUCAUCUCCAACACGACUUGUCUGCCUUGUCACUCUCUGUGCCUGUACGAGGCCAUCCCUGAGCUUCUGCAGCCAGUGGGAGCUGUUUCAGACGAGGUCCUAGAGGCGACGAGGGCAGUGCGGUGGCACGAGAGGGUAGAGUGGAUCUCCGACGAUGUGAAGUGUUGGUCGCGGAGUGUGAAGGAGUGGAAGAGAGUGAUUGCAGAGAUGGAGGGAGAUCCAACUAUCCCCCGUGUCCGCCCGGAAGGGACCAUUGAAGCUGCCAAGCAGCACUCCAACUGGGAGCUGCGCAAUUUCGGCCAGAGGAUCUACUUCGAGAGCAAUGCGGAGGAGAGAGCCAGGAUGCCGCCCCCAAGUGCAUCGGCGUUCGAUAUCAUCAGCUGGGGAAGGGCGGAGGUGAAAACUCCAGCGGGCAAGGCAAGGUGGGAGUGCUUGAACGAUCGGAUUGUUGGGGAACGUUGUAUAAAAUAA
rnacentral:rRNA from 1 species